rnacentral:rRNA from 1 species
UGGGGAAUCUUAGACAAUGGGGGCAACCCUGAUCUAGCCAUGCCGCGUGAGUGAAGAAGGCCUUAGGGUCGUAAAGCUCUUUCGCUGGGGAAGAUAAUGACUGUACCCAGUAAAGAAACCCCGGCUAACUCCGUGCCAGCAGCCGCGGUAAUACGGAGGGGGUUAGCGUUGUUCGGAAUUACUGGGCGUAAAGCGCGCGUAGGCGGAUCGGAAAGUUGGGGGUGAAAUCCCGGGGCUCAACCCCGGAAUUGCCUUCAAAACUCCUGGUCUUGAGUUCGAGAGAGGUGAGUGGAAUUCCGAGUGUAGAGGUGAAAUUCGUAGAUAUUCGGAGGAACACCAGUGGCGAAGGCGGCUCACUGGCUCGAUACUGACGCUGAGGUGCGAAAGCGUGGGGAGCAAACAGG